GGACUACUGGGGUUUCUAAUCCUGUUUGCUCCCCACGCUUUCGAGUCUUAGCGUCAGUAACCGUCCAGAUAGCCGCCUUCGCCACUGGUGUUCUUCCCAAUCUCUACGUAUUUCACCACUACACUGGGAAUUCCACUAUCCUCUCCGGUCCUCUAGCCACCCAGUACCAAGUGCAUUUCUUGAGUUGAGCUCAAGGCUUUCACACCUGACUUGGGCAACCGCCUACACUCGCUUUACGCCCAGUAAUUCCGAACAACGCUAGCCCCCUUCGUCUUACCGCGGCUGCUGGCAC
rnacentral:rRNA from 1 species